GCGCCGCUCCGGCUGCACCACGCUCCCUCUGAGCUCCGGGCUCUUACUAAGCUAGUGCCACCGAUGUCUCCCUCCAUCAUGAUCAUCUACCGGGACCUCAUCAGCCAUGAUGAAAUGUUCUCCGACAUCCACAAGAUCCGUGAGGUCGCGGACGGGCUGUGUCUGGAGGUGGAGGGGAAUAUGGUCAGUAGGACAGAGGGUAACAUUGAUGACUGCCUCCGCUGAAGGCCCCGAGGGCGAAGGUACCGACUGCACAGUAAUCACUGGUGUGGUUAUUGUCAUGAACCAUCACUUGCAGGAAACCAGCUUCACAAAAGAAGCCUACAAGAAGUACUUCAAAGAUUACAUGAAGUUAAUCAAAGGGAAGCUUCAAGAACAGAGACCAGAAAGGGGAAAACCUUUUAUGACAGGAACUGCAGAACAAAUCAAGCACAUCCUUGCUAAUUUCAAAAACGAUCAGUUCUUUAUUGGUGAAAACAUGAAUCCAGAUAGCAUGGCUGCUCUGCUGGACUACCGUGAGGAUGGUGUGACCCCAUAUAUGAUUUUCUUUUAAGGAUGGUCUAGAAAUGGAAAAAUGUCAACAAAUUUGGCUGUUUGGAUCUAUCGCCUGCUCGUCAUAACUAGCCGGCUGCUGCUUUCCAUCCACACAACACCAGGACUUAGACAAAUGGGACUGAUGUCAUCUUGAGCUCUUCGUUUCGAUGUUGAUUUGUUUGGAGCGGAGGCAUUGUUUUUGAGAAAAAAAAAAUGUCAUGUAGGUUGUCUAAAAAUAAAAUGCGUUUAAACUCAAUUGAGAGAAUGCCUCUUAGUUUAAUAUGUAAUAUCUAAAUCCAUCCUGUGUAGCCUUCCUGGAGAAGCUACAACCUGGUUGUAGACCACUACUAGAAAGCAUAAGGCCAUCUUCAGAUAACUUCCACAGUGAAAACCACUUCCGGGACUUGGAAUAUAAACAAGAAUCAACAGUGAUUCAGUUGAAGUAAAGGGAAAGACCAUGCUCAUAGCAGUGCCAACAUUUGAAGCGGAUUUCUUACACAUUUCAUCACCUA